AAUAGAUACCCAGGUAGUCCACGCCGUAAACGAUGAGUGCUAAGUGUUAGGGGGUUUCCGCCCCUUAGUGCUGCAGCUAACGCAUUAAGCACUCCGCCUGGGGAGUACGGUCGCAAGACUGAAACUCAAAGGAAUUGACGGGGGCCCGCACAAGCGGUGGAGCAUGUGGUUUAAUUCGAAGCAACGCGAAGAACCUUACCAGGUCUUGACAUCCCACUGACCGCUAUGGAGACAUAGUUUUCCCUUCGGGGACAGUGGUGACAGGUGGUGCAUGGUUGUCGUCAGCUCGUGUCGUGAGAUGUUGGGUUAAGUCCCGCAACGAGCGCAACCCUUGAUCUUAGUUGCCAUCAUUUAGUUGGGCACUCUAAGGUGACUGCCGGUGACAAACCGGAGGAAGGUGGGGAUGACGUCAAAUCAUCAUGCCCCUUAUGACCUGGGCUACACACGUGCUACAAUGGACGGUACAAACGGUUGCCAACCCGCGAGGGGAGCUAAUCCGAUAAAGCCGUUCUCAGUUCGGAUUGUAGGCUGCAACUCGCCUA
rnacentral:rRNA from 1 species